UCGAGCCCGUCCCCUCGCCUGCAGGGACAUGCGGCCCGGGACGGCCACCCGCAGGCCCCGCGCUUGCUCCGCGCCGGGAAGGGAGGAGCCGAAGGGGUGCCGGGGGGCACGGGACGCAGCCGGUUCUUCCUGCCGCCCGAGCGGGACCCGGCGCUCACGUCCCCUAACGCCGGAGGCGCCCCGCGCCGGGGAGCUGUCCGCCCCCGUGGUUCUGAACCAGGCGCGGCAGAAACUCCAGGUGUAUAAUGUAAUGAUUCAACAAUGCUAUGUGCUACUCAAUGCUUAGCUCGACCCCAUGAAGGGACAUUCGUGGUGACCACAGGCAGAGAAGGUAAAGGGGACAUAUUCAUUAUCCUGUGGACGGUGUCUUGUUCAAGAGACUGCAGAAAGCUGGUGAGCAUUUCUGAAGGCUUCUCAGAGGCACAAAACUAGCUAUGAUUCACGGAAAAUGGCAUUUGCUUUUGCGAAAAUGCCACACCUCCUUUUGGGAGACGUGAGUUACUUAAAGAAGACACGAUUGAAUCCUGGGGCACCCUCGAGACUCACAUCCACAUACAGAUUACAUCCCACGUUGUACCCUUGUCAGAGGCCAUUUCUGAGACACACACACACACACACACACACACACAUCCAAACCCACACGCAAAACACCAUUUGUUAGAAAUAUCUUUAGGAGACCAUGAUAGCAUCACUUUCCCCUGGGACCUUCCAGAGAGCAGUGGUUUAAAUUUUAGUUUUACCCACCAGCUGUGCCACCUGGCACGAAUUACCUAAUUUUUCUCCUCAUCAGUUCCCUCCUCUAUACAAUGGGCAUAACGAUAUCUACCCCAUGUGAUGUCAGAAGGUGGAAUGCCUGUGAAAAUAAAGUCUAUACAAGUGUCAGUUGAGUUUAUCAUUGGGCACAAAGCAUAUUUAUAGAGCAGAAUAGCAGAAAUCCCAGGCACAGAGUGAAUGGGCCCACGGUAGACCCCUCCUCCUCUUUCACUCUUGAUCUUGUCGACAAGUUCUUUUACAAGUCACAGUGUCUAUGCUCCACCCUGACCAAGAGCAGGAGGGCAACAGCAUCAAAUGCCUUUGCUCAGCUGGGGUAUUGAAUUCUGGGAUGGGCUGUAGCCUUUAUGGCAGGGGACAGGUCCCCAAACCAGAAGUUCCUUCGGUUUCACGUGGCCUUCUUCUUUAGGGGAGCCUCUAAUACAAAUGUUCCUGUGUCGUGGGACAGGUGGAUAUUUGCUAGCAGGGACGACAAGGAGGAGAGUUCGCCAUUGCGGGAAACUCUGUGAUCAACUUUGCCCAAGAAAAACCUGAAUUGGUCUGUGUACUGUGCCCCCUAUGAGAGUCAGGGAGUCCCCUACCCUUAUGCCUCCAUGUCUGAUACAUUUGACCCCGGCCCCUUAUCGCGGUAAUUAAACGGGGGGUGGAGGGCUGCCUUUCCCAAAGCCAGCCAAGUGAUAAGCCAGCCUGUGACUUGUAGCUCGAUCCCCCUUAUGAAUGGCACAUCAGUCCCGAACAUUUGAAACGACCCUUCUAUUUCCACGUUGUUCUCAGGAGAAUUGUUUCUUCCAAGCAACUGCUGCCUGAUCUUAGUUUGCUCUUGAGUCUCAAACUAUGUGCAUUCUUUUUUUUUUCUU